AGGGGACCUCGAGUGCCAGGUUACAAAUCUGGCUGUCCCGAUGCCUAAAAAGCAUUGCAUAGCAAGGGCCGGGCAAGACCGGUGCCAGCCGCCGCGGUAACACCGGCGGCUCGAGUGGUAACCGUUAUUAUUGGGUCUAAAGGGUCUGUAGCCGGCCGGAUAAGU
rnacentral:rRNA from 1 species